UAGGGAAUCUUCGGCAAUUGACGAAAGUCUGACCGAGCAACGCCGCGUGAGUGAAGAAGGUUUUCGGAUCUUAAAACUCUGUUGUUAGAGAAGAACAAGGACGUUAGUAACUGAACGUCCCCUGACGGUAUCUAACCAGAAAGCCACGGCUAACUACGUGCCAGCAGCCGCGGUAAUACGUAGGUGGCAAGCGUUGUCCGGAUUUAUUGGGCGUAAAGCGAGCGCAGGCGGUUUCUUAAGUCUGAUGUGAAAGCCCCCGGCUCAACCGGGGAGGGUCAUUGGAAACUGGGAGACUUGAGUGCAGAAGAGGAGAGUGGAAUUCCUUGUGUGGCGGUGAAAUGCGUAGAUAUAUGGAGGAACACCAGUGGCGAAGGCGGCUGUCUCGUAUGUAACUGACGCUGAGGCUGGAAAGCGAGGGGAGCGAACUGG
rnacentral:rRNA from 1 species